UACGGAGGGUGCGAGCGUUGUCCGGAAUCACUGGGCGUAAAGAGCUCGUAGGCGGUUUGUCGCGUCGACUGUGAAAACCCGAGGCUUAACCUCGGGCCUGCAGUCGAUACGGGCAGACUAGAGUUCGGUAGGGGAGACUGGAAUUCCUGGUGUAGCGGUGAAAUGCGCAGAUAUCAGGAGGAACACCGGUGGCGAAGGCGGGUCUCUGGGCCGAUACUGACGCUGAGGAGCGAAAGCGUGGGGAGCGAACAGG
rnacentral:rRNA from 1 species